rnacentral:tRNA from 1 species
GGGAAUGGAGCUUAGUGGCAGAGUGCUUGCCUUACAUGCAUGAGGCCUUAGGUUCAAUCCCUCGGUGCCA